AACGAACGCUGGCGGCAUGCCUAACACAUGCAAGUCGAACGAGAACUUCGGGUCUAGUGGCGCACGGGUGCGUACCGCGUGGGAACCUGCACUUAGGUUCGGAAUAACUCCCCGAAAGGGGUGCUAAUACCGGAUAAUGUCUUCGGACCAAAGAUUUAUCGCCUUUGGAUGGGCCCGCGUUGGUUUAGCUAGUUGGUAGGGUAAAAGCCUACCAAGGCGACGAUCCAUAGCUGGUCUGAGAGGAUGAUCAGCCACACUGGGACUGAGACACGGCCCAGACUCCUACGGGAGGCAGCAGUGGGGAAUAUUGGACAAUGGGCGAAAGCCUGAUCCAGCAAUGCCGCGUGAGUGAUGAAGGCCUUAGGGUUGUAAAGCUCUUUUACCCGGGAUGAUAAUGACAGUACCGGGAGAAUAAGCGCCGGCUAACUCCGUG
rnacentral:rRNA from 1 species